UACUUCCAUAACGUCAGAAAGCUCUCUCCAUUCUCUAAUUGCAAGUUCUGCGUUUUCAAGCAAGGAGAGGAAGAAGAAGAAGGAGCCGUGAAGACAUAGCCUCCAUCAUCAACCUUGAAGACUUUCUUCCAAGAUUCAAGAGUCCAACGUUCAAGCUCUCCAUCUCCAUCUCCACUCACGGUGGUAUUUUGUUUUUUGAGAGUGAAAUUGGGUUUCUAGAAUCAACAUUAUUAUUUUGGUUACUUGGCAAAAAUACUAGCACUUGAGGGUUCAAAGGAUGUGCCUGUUGGCCAACCAAUUGCAGUAACAGUAAGUGCAAAAGGCUCGUAGAACUGUAUAAUCUGCCUUUUACCAUCCUUGAGGAAGUUUUUGUGUCUAAAGCCCUUAUAACAUGAAGAGCUUCUUCAAAUCUGUCAAUUAAUUAAGUAGCGAACUAGUUUAGUUAUUUCAGCCAAUAACUGAUGAAAUAUAUUACUGAUCUCAUGAUGUCAAAAACAUUUUUGGUGUCUUAAGACAUAUAACAACACUAAUUUACAAGAAUGCUAGAACAAUGAGAUGAUCAUUACUGAUUUAUUGUUUGGGGUAAAAUUAAACAAUGAGAUGAUCAAGAGAUUACGUUGGAGAUUUUCUAGGGAGAGUUUUAAGGAAAGAUGAAGUGUGUGCAACAAGAAAAUGUUCAAAACAAGUCUAGAUUCGUUCCCUACUUUUUCUAAAGAUAUUUUGGCCGAAAUUGGUGAAGGAAAUCAGAAAAAAUCUUAUAUAUUUCGGCAAUAAUAUAUUUUAAGGGAUAUGGACUUUAUUUUGGAGCCUUUUGAUUGGUUGGGUGACACAACAAAGCUGACAUGGCGCUACGUGAUUGGUCGAAGCUGUGUGGAAUUAUUAAAUAAAUCUUUGGAAAAAUAAAAGAAGAUUCAUGAAGCUUGGAGAUCAAGUUCACGUCCCCUAUAUAAACUCCCCCCUAGGCUUGACGUUCUACAUUCUCGCAUUCAGAAAAUACUUCCAUAACGUCAGAAAGCUCUCUCCAUUCUCUAAUUGCAAGUUCUGCGUUUUCAAGCAAGGAGAGGAAGAAGAAGAAGGAGCCGUGAAGACAUAGCCUUCAUCAUCAACCUUGAAGGCUUUCUUCCAAGAUUCAAGAGUCCAACGUUCAAGCUCUCCAUCUCCAUCUCCACUCACGGUGUAAUUCGAUCUUUUUCCUUGUAACCUUUUGGUUUUCCUUGUUUGAAUUCGUAGGAACUUGUUUCUAGUUAACAAUAACAUUUAGGGCAAUGUUUAAGCCCAAUUCUAUGUUGAAAUAAAGAUUUCGAAUUCCAUGAUUGUGAUUCUAAGUUGCUUAUGUGAGUUUGUUCGAUUGAAUUUUCUUUACAGAAAACUUUUAUAUGUUUAUGUUCUUUAGUGGCCAACUUAGGAUAUAUGCAUGUAAUUGGU